AGCAGUAGCCGCGGUAAUACGUAGGGUGCGAGCGUUAAUCGGAAUUACUGGACGUAAAGCGUGCGCAGGCGGUUAUAUAAGACAGAUGUAAAAUCCCCGGGCUCAACCUGGGACCUGCAUUUGUGACUGUAUAGCUAGAGUACGGUAGAGGGGGAUGGAAUUCCGCGUGUAGCAGUGAAAUGCGUAGAUAUGCGGAGGAACACCGAUGGCGAAGGCAAUCCCCUGGACCUGUACUGACGCUCAUGCACGAAAGCGUGGGGAGCAAACAGGAUUAGAUACCCCAGUAGUCCCUGUCUCUUAUAC
rnacentral:rRNA from 1 species